AAUAGAUACCCGAGGUAGUCCACGCCGUAAACGUUGGGCGCUAGGUGUGGGGAACCUUCCACGUUCGUCCGUGCCGUAGCUAACGCAUUAAGCGCCCCGCCUGGGGAGUACGGCCGCAAGGCUAAAACUCAAAGGAAUUGAACGGGGGGCCCGCACGAAGCGGCGGAGCAUGUGGAUUAAUUCGAUGCAACGCGAAGAACCUUACCUGGGUUUGACAUGCACUAGACGCGUCUAGAGAUAGGCGUUCCCUUGUGGCUGGUGUGCAGGUGGUGCAUGGCUGUCGUCAGCUCGUGUCGUGAGAUGUUGGGUUAAGUCCCGCAACGAGCGCAACCCUCGUUCCAUGUUGCCAGCGGGUUAUGCCGGGGACUCAUGGGAGACUGCCGGGGUCAACUCGGAGGAAGGUGGGGAUGACGUCAAGUCAUCAUGCCCCUUAUGUCCAGGGCUUCACACAUGCUACAAUGGCCAGUACAGAGGGCUGCGAGACCGUGAGGUGGAGCGAAUCCCUUAAAGCUGGUCUCAGUUCGGAUCGGGGU
rnacentral:rRNA from 1 species